UCCCUGGUGGCUCAGAGGUUAAGGCAUCUGCCUCCAAUGUGGAAGACCCGGGUUCAAUCCCUGGGUUGGGAA
rfam:TPA: Bos taurus chromosome 9, whole genome shotgun sequence.